rnacentral:hammerhead_ribozyme from 1 species
AAACUGCUGAGAAGUCCCACAAUAGGACGAAACGGCCGUUUAGUUU